rnacentral:rRNA from 1 species
AGAGUUUGAUCCUGGCUCAGGAUGAACGCUAGCUACAGGCUUAACACAUGCAAGUCGAGGGGCAGCAUCAUCAAAGCUUGCUUUGAUGGAUGGCGACCGGCGCACGGGUGAGUAACACGUAUCCAACCUGCCGACAACACUGGGAUAGCCUUUCGAAAGAAAGAUUAAUACCGGAUGGCAUAGUUUUCCCGCAUGGGAUGAUUAUUAAAGAAUUUCGGUUGUCGAUGGGGAUGCGUUCCAUUAGGCAGUUGGCGGGGUAACGGCCCACCAAACCAACGAUGGAUAGGGGUUCUGAGAGGAAGGUCCCCCACAUUGGAACUGAGACACGGUCCAAACUCCUACGGGAGGCAGCAGUGAGGAAUAUUGGUCAAUGGACGAGAGUCUGAACCAGCCAAGUAGCGUGAAGGAUGACUGCCCUAUGGGUUGUAAACUUCUUUUAUACGGGAAUAAAGUUAGCCACGUGUGGCUUUUUGUAUGUACCGUAUGAAUAAGGAUCGGCUAACUCCGUGCCAGCAGCCGCGGUAAUACGGAGGAUCCGAGCGUUAUCCGGAUUUAUUGGGUUUAAAGGGAGCGUAGGCGGGUUGUUAAGUCAGUUGUGAAAGUUUGCGGCUCAACCGUAAAAUUGCAGUUGAUACUGGCGACCUUGAGUGCAACAGAGGUAGGCGGAAUUCGUGGUGUAGCGGUGAAAUGCUUAGAUAUCACGAAGAACUCCGAUUGCGAAGGCAGCUUACUGGAUUGUAACUGACGCUGAUGCUCGAAAGUGUGGGUAUCAAACAGGAUUAGAUACCCUGGUAGUCCACACAGUAAACGAUGAAUACUCGCUGUUGGCGAUAUACGGUCAGCGGCCAAGCGAAAGCAUUAAGUAUUCCACCUGGGGAGUACGCCGGCAACGGUGAAACUCAAAGGAAUUGAC